GACGAACGCUGGCGGCGUGCUUAACACAUGCAAGUCGAACGAUGAAGAAGAGCUUGCUCUUCGGAUUAGUGGCGAACGGGUGAGUAACACGUGACUAACCUGCCCCUUUCUCUGGGAUAACGCUCCGAAAGGAGUGCUAAUACCGGAUACUCACAUCGAGGCACAUGCCUUGAUGUGGAAAGUUUUUCGGAAAGGGAUGGAGUCGCGGCCUAUCAGCUUGUUGGUGAGGUAACGGCUCUCCAAGGCGACGACGGGUAGCCGGCCUGAGAGGGCGACCGGCCACACUGGGACUGAGACACGGCCCAGACUCCUACGGGAGGCAGCAGUGGGGAAUAUUGCACAAUGGGCGAAAGCCUGAUGCAGCGACGCCGCGUGAGGGAUGAAGGUCUUCGGAUUGUAAACCUCUUUCAGUAGGGACGAAGCGAAAGUGACGGUACCUAAAGAAGAAGCACCGGCUAACUACGUGCCAGCAGCCGCCGUAA
rnacentral:rRNA from 1 species